GACGAACGCUGGCGGCGUGCUUAACACAUGCAAGUCGAACGAAGAGCGAUGGAAGCUUGCUUCUAUCACUCUUAGUGGCGAACGGGUGAGUAACGCGUAAUCAACCUGCCCUUCAGAGGGGGACAACAGUUGGAAACGACUGCUAAUACCGCAUACGAUCUAAUCUCGGCAUCGAGGAUAGAUGAAAGGUGGCCUCUACAUGUAAGCUAUCACUGAAGGAGGGGAUUGCGUCUGAUUAGCUAGUUGGAGGGGUAACGGCCCACCAAGGCGAUGAUCAGUAGCCGGUCUGAGAGGAUGAACGGCCACAUUGGGACUGAGACACGGCCCAGACUCCUACGGGAGGCAGCAGUGGGGAAUCUUCCGCAAUGGACGAAAGUCUGACGGAGCAACGCCGCGUGAGUGAUGACGGCCGUCGGGUUGUAAAGCUCGGUUAAUCGGGACGAAAGGCCUUCUUGCGAAUAGGGAGAAGGAUUGACGGUACCGGAAUAGAAAGCCACGGCUAACUACGUG
rnacentral:rRNA from 1 species